GGGCCCACACAAGUAGUGGAGCAUGUGGUUUAAUUCGAAGAUACGCGCAGAACCUUACCAACACUUGACAUGUUCGUCGCGACUUUAAGAGAUUAAAGUUUUCGGUUCGGCCGGACGAAACACAGGUGCUGCAUGGCUGUCGUCAGCUCGUGUCGUGAGAUGUUGGGUUAAGUCCCGCAACGAGCGCAACCCUCACUUUUAGUUGCCAUCAUUAAGUUGGGCACUCUGAAAGAACUGCCAGUGAUAAGCUGGAGGAAGGUGGGGAUGACGUCAAGUCCUCAUGGCCCUUACGUGUUGGGCUACACACGUGCUACAAUGGUAUCUACAACAGGAAGCAAGACGGCGACGUUAAGCAAAUCUCAUAAACUCGGUCUCAGUUCGGAUUGGAGUCUGCAACUCGACUCCAUG
rnacentral:rRNA from 1 species